rnacentral:rRNA from 1 species
AGAACGAACGCUGGCGGCAUGCCUAACACAUGCAAGUCGAACGAGACCUUCGGGUCUAGUGGCGCACGGGUGCGUAACGCGUGGGAAUCUGCCCUUGGGUUCGGGAUAACAGUUGGAAACGACUGCUAAUACCGGAUGAUGACUUCGGUCCAAAGAUUUAUCGCCCAGGGAUGAGCCCGCGUAGGAUUAGCUUGUUGGUGAGGUAAGAGCUCACCAAGGCGACGAUCCUUAGCUGGUCUGAGAGGAUGAUCAGCCACACUGGGACUGAGACACGGCCCAGACUCCUACGGGAGGCAGCAGUGGGGAAUAUUGGACAAUGGGCGAAAGCCUGAUCCAGCAAUGCCGCGUGAGUGAUGAAGGCCUUAGGGUUGUAAAGCUCUUUACCCGGAUGAUAAUGACAGUACCGGAGAAUAAGCCCGCUAACUCCGUGCCAGCAGCCGC